CUCCUGAGACAAAGAUCUGUCCUUGUGAAGUGUUUGCCACAUGGCCCCCCAGAGGCAAAUCCAAGGGCCACAUGAAGCUGAAAGAGAAGACAUUAAUAUCUCAAAGGCAUAUUCAACCAGCCAAGAACCACCGGCUACCAGUUUCUGGCUAUGGCUCAGUCUUUCUCUGCCAAACACGUCUUUUUUUCCAACUGCUGUCCGUUGAUCCCAACUAAUCUACACUGGACAAACUUCAGCCUCUC